CCUACGGGAGGUAGCAGUGAGGAAUAUUGGGCAAUGGGCGCGAGCCUGAACCAGCCAAGUAGCGUGAAGGAUGACUGCCCUACGGGUUGUAAACUUCUUUUGUAGAGGAAUAAAGUGAGGCACGUAUGCCUUUUUGUAUGUACUUUAUGAAUAAGGAUCGGCUAACUCCAUGCCAGCAGCCGCGGUAAUACGGAGGAUCCGAGCGUUAUCCGGAUUUAUUGGGUUUAAAGGGAGCGUAGAUGGGUUGUUAAGUCAGUUGUGAAAGUUUGCGGCUCAACCGUAAAAUUGCAAUUGAUACUGGCAGUCUUGAGUACAGGUGAGGUAGGCGGAAUUCGUGGUGUAGCGGUGAAAUGCGUAGAUAUCACGAAGAACUCCGAUUGCGAAGGCAGCUUACUAACCUGCCACUGACAUUGAUGCGCGAAAGUGUGGGUAGCAAACAGGAUUAGAUACCCCUGUAGUC
rnacentral:rRNA from 1 species